GAUGAACGCUGGCGGCGUGCCUAAUACAUGCAAGUCGAGCGAACAGACGAGGCGCUUGCUCCUCUGACGUUAGCGGCGGACGGGUGAGUAACACGUGGAUAACCUACCUAUAAUACUGGGAUAACUUCGGGAAACCGGAGCUAAUACCGGAUAAUAUAUUGAACCGCAUGGUUCAAUAGUGAAAGACGGUUUUGCUGUCACUUAUAGAUGGAUCCCGGCCGCAUUAGCUAGUUGGGAAGGUAACGGCUUACCAAGGCAACGAUGCGUAGACGACCUGAGAAGGGGGUCGGCCACACUGGAGCGUAAACACGGUCAAGACUCCUGCGGGAGGCAGCAGUAGGGAAUCUUCCGCAAUAGGCGAAAGUCUGGCGGAGCAACGCCGCGUGAGAGAUGAAGAUCUUCGGAUCGUAAAACUCUGUUUUUAGGGAAGAACAAAUGUGGAAGUAACUAUGCACGUCUUGACGGUACCUAAUCAGAAAGCCACGGCUAACUACGUG
rnacentral:rRNA from 1 species